GACGAACGCUGGCGGUGUGCUUAACACAUGCAAGUCGAACGGCAAGGCCCUGCUUUCUUGCGGUUCUCGGUUGCCGAUCGGGUACGUAACACGUGUGUAACCUGCUCUUCUUUUUGGGAUAACUUCAGGAAACUAGGGCUACUACCGUAUCGCAUCCCCUGCUCCAUGGUGGGCGUUGGAUAGUUUCGGCUGUUGGGGUUGGACUCGCGGCUUAUCGGCUUGUUGGUUGGGUAGUGGCUUACCAAGCCUUAGACGGGUCGCCGGCCUGUGAGGGUGACCGGCCUCAUUGGGACUGCGGUACGGACCAGACUCCAAUGGGAGGCAGCAGGGGGGAAUAUGGCACAGUGGGAGGGAGUCUGAGAAAGAAACGCCGCGGGCGGGAUGACGGCCUGUGGGUUGUAAACAGCUUUCGCCUGUGACGAAGCGUGAGUGACGGUAAUGGGUAAAGAAGCACCGGCUAACUACGUG
rnacentral:rRNA from 1 species